GGAAGUCUUCUUAGGUUAAGAAGUGUCCCGGCCUGCAUGGAGGAUUCCUGUGCCUUGUGCAGGCAGCAGUAGCUUUGCAUUGGUAGAUUGAAAUUGGGACAUAGAGAGGAGCAGGAAAUACCAUUCCAGUGACUUAAUCAUGCAAAAGGAAGUUUUCUGAGAGUAUUAAGAUGCAAA